GGCUGUGUGGUCGCGACCAGAGAAAGGAGAAAGGGGGGAACCCUAAUUUCAUCAAUCAACCUCAAGAAUUCAGCAAGAUUGUGAAGGAUUAGAGUCAUAAAUCGCAUGCUAGUGUUUAAAUACUCUCUAAUCCAAGUGUUUUGAACAUAAGGAGUGAAAGAAGAAGGAGCUAGUUCCGGUUCACAACAAAAGGCUCAAGAUCGAGGUAAAGCACAAGUUUAAUCGCCGUUGCGUCACUCGGAUAUGAACACACCUUGAUCACCCGUGAUACGCUUCCGCCUCUUUUGUAGUAAUUUCAA